UCACAGCUUGCGCUGGCAGUUUCGCUAGAGUCCCCGGCAUUAUCCGCUGGCAACUAACGAUAGGGGUUGCGCUCGUUAUGGGACUUAACCCGACACCUCACGGCACGAGCUGACGACAACCAUGCAGCACCUUGCUGGACGCCCCGAAGGGAGGACCGGUUUCCCGGCCUAUCGUCCAACAUUUAAGCCCUGGUAAGGUUCCUCGCGUAUCAUCGAAUUAAACCACAUGCUCCACCGCUUGUGCGGGCCCCCGUCAAUUCCUUUGAGUUUCAUUCUUGCGAACGUACUCCCCAGGUGGUAUGCUUACUGCGUUAACUGCGUCACUGCCCCCGAAGGGACAACAACUAGCAUACAUCGUUUACGGCGUGGACUAC
rnacentral:misc_RNA from 1 species